UACAGAGGGUGCGAGCGUUUAAUCGGAAUUACUGGGCGUAAAGCGCGCGUAGGCGGCUUUGCAAGUCGAGUGUGAAAUCCCCAGGCUUAACCUGGGAACUGCAUUCGAGACUGCAUGGCUAGAGUAUGGGAGAGGGAAGUGGAAUUUCAGGUGUAGCGGUGAAAUGCGUAGAUAUCUGAAGGAACAUCAGUGGCGAAAGCGACUUCCUGGACCAAUACUGACGCUCAUGUGCGAAAGCGUGGGGAGCAAACAGG
rnacentral:rRNA from 1 species